GGUUACUGCUAUCGGUGUUCGCCUAAGCCAUGCGAGUCAUAUGUUCUUCGGAACAUGGCGUACUGCUCAGUAACACGUGGAUAACCUGCCCUUGGGUCCGGCAUAACCCCGGGAAACUGGGGAUAAUUCCGGAUAACGCACAUAUGCUGGAAUGCUUUAUGCGUCAAAUGGAUUCGUCCGCCCAAGGAUGGGUCUGCGGCCUAUCAGGUAGUAGUGGGUGUAAUGUACCUACUAGCCUACGACGGGUACGGGUUGUGAGAGCAAGAGCCCGGAGAUGGAUUCUGAGACAUGAAUCCAGGCCCUACGGGGCGCAGCAGGCGCGAAAACUUUACAAUGCGGGAAACCGUGAUAAGGGGACACCGAGUGCCAGCAUCAUAUGCUGGCUGUCCGGGUGUGUAAAAUACACCUGUUAGCAAGGGCCGGGCAAGACCGGUGCCAGCCGCCGCGGUAACACCGGCGGCCCGAGUGGUGAUCGUGAUUAUUGGGUCUAAAGGGUCCGUAGCCGGUUUGGUCAGUCCUCCGGGAAAUCUGACGGCUUAACCGUUAGGCUUUCGGGGGAUACUGCCAGACUUGGAACCGGGAGAGGUAAGAGGUACUACAGGGGUAGGAGUGAAAUCUUGUAAUCCCUGUGGGACCACCUGUGGCGAAGGCGUCUUACCAGAACGGGUUCGACGGUGAGGGACGAAAGCUGGGGGCACGAACCGGAUUAGAUACCCGGGUAGUCCCAGCCGUAAACGAUGCUCGCUAGGUGUCAGGCAUGGCGCGACCGUGUCUGGUGCCGCAGGGAAGCCGUGAAGCGAGCCACCUGGGAAGUACGGC
rnacentral:rRNA from 1 species